rnacentral:rRNA from 1 species
UACGUAGGGUGCGAGCGUUAAUCGGAAUUACUGGGCGUAAAGCGCACGUAGGUGGCGACGUAAGUCGGGUGUGAAAGCCCCGGGCUCAACCUGGGAAUUGCAUUCGAGACUGCAUUGCUGGAGUACGGAAGAGGAAGGCGGAAUUCCCGGUGUAGCGGUGAAAUGCGCAGAUAUCGGGAGGAACACCAGUAGCGAAGGCGGCUCGCUGGGCCACACCUGACGCUGAGACACGAAAGCCAGGGGAGCGAACGGG